rnacentral:rRNA from 1 species
AACGAACGCUGGCGGCAGGCUUAACACAUGCAAGUCGAACGAGAUCUUCGGAUCUAGUGGCAGACGGGUGAGGAACACGUGGGAACAUCCCUUUCAGUUCGGAAUAACGUUGGGAAACUAACGCUAAUACCGGAUACGUCCUUCGGGAGAAAGAUUUAUCGCUGAAAGAUUGGCCCGCGUCUGAUUAGCUAGUUGGUGAGGUAGUGGCUUACCAAGGCUACGAUCAGUAGCUGAUCUGAGAGGAUGAUCAGCCACAUUGGGACUGAGACACGGCCCAAACUCCUACGGGAGGCAGCAGUGGGGAAUAUUGGACAAUGGGCGCAAGCCUGAUCCAGCCAUGCCGCGUGAGUGAUGACGGCCUUCGGGUUGUAAAGCUCUUUUGUCCGGGAAGAUAAUGACUGUACCGGAAGAAUAAGCCCCGGCAAACUUCGUGCCAGCAGCCGCCGUAA